CUAAUAUUAUUAAUUUUUAGAACCAUAAGCAGAGGCAUUGGGUUCACCUUGGCAUCAAAAAAAUAUUUUCGUACUAUGUAAAACAUGUUGGAAAGGAAAACUUAUUGCUUCAUCCUGUCUCAUGUGUACCUGGCAUGCUAGUAACCAGCAAGAUCUUCCUUCUGUAUGUUUUUAUCUUGUUUUUCCUGCUUUUCCAAGUGCAUUGGCUGCUGCCUGCUCCUAGGUUGUCUUCUGCUUUGAAAUUAUUGACAAUCUCCCGUUCUAUCCAUAUAUGUUACUACAACUGUUUCAAAGCUAUCUUAUUCGUUACGUACAUAUUUUACCACAAGUAUAUACCUUGAAUUUAUAUAUUUUGUUUCCUAUUUUUAAUGUAUUACAUAUGAAUACAUGGACCUGUUAAAUACAUUCAAGCUAUUAACCAACACAAUGCUAUGAAAAAAUAUUUUGAGGCACCUCAAAAUUCAAAAACUCACAU
rnacentral:lncRNA from 7 species